GAGCUGUGCAGACCUUCCUCCUGCCUUUGCCUGUGUGCCUGCUUUGCUUCCAAGCCAUGAGCAGAGUCCUGAGAGCCACGUAUUCUUUUAACCUCAGUUUACCUUCGGACCAAUCCUGAGACUUGUUACCAGAGGUUAAAGAAGAGAUGCAGGGAAGAGGAGAAGGUCAUUCCGCUGGAAUACCUGGAAGCAAUUCACCAUCUCCAUGAGGAGUGGCUCAUCAAAGGCAGCCUUUUCCCCAUGGCAGCGCCUGUUCUGGGCACCAGCUGAGAGACAGAAUUUUUGGAAGAACUUAGGGAAGAAACUAAGAAAAGACAACAGCACACAGCAACAAGCAGUCAUCUGGGCCUCUCAUGUCACCGAGAACAUUAUGGUGGGCGCCUGUGAGCUCUUCCUGACCACCCAAGACUUCUAGGAUGCUUUCCCGACCACCCUGCUCCACCCAGGGCAGAGUUGCCAACUCCUUGAUGCCUCCUGUGUUGCAAUCGCAGUCAGAUGAGGUCCCAGGGCCCCAGGGUGGGUGGCAGCUCACCGUAGCCGUGCUCGUACUCUCGGUGUCGAUGCCGGCGGUGGUGAUGGUGGUGGU
rnacentral:sRNA from 1 species